CGCACGGUGGCUUAGUGGUUAGCACGCUCGCCUCGCGUCACACCUGGGUGAUCUGGGGUUCAAUUCCCGCCGGGGCUG